GAUGAACGCUGGCGGCGUGCCUAAUACAUGCAAGUCGAGCGAACAGACGAGGAGCUUGCUCCUCUGACGUUAGCGGCGGACGGGUGAGUAACACGUGGAUAACCUACCUAUAAUACUGGGAUAACUUCGGGAAACCGGAGCUAAUACCGGAUAAUAUAUUGAACCGCAUGGUUCAAUAGUGAAAUACGGUUUUUCUGUCUCUUAUAGAUGGAUCCGCGCCUCAUUAGCUAGUUGGUAAGGUAACGGCUUACCAAGGCAACGAUGCGUAGCCGACCUGAGAGGGGGAUCGGCCACACUGGAACUGAGACACGGUCCAGACUACUACGGGAGGCAGCAGUAGGGAAUCUUCCGCAAUGGGCGAAAGCCUGACGGAGCAACGCCGCGUGAGUGAUGAAGGUCUUCGGAUCGUAAAACUCUGUUAUUAGGGAAGAACAAAUGUGUAAGUAACUAUGCACGUCUUGACGGUACCUAAUCAGAAAGCCACGGCUAACUACGUG
rnacentral:rRNA from 1 species